AGGAGUCUAACAUCUAUGCGAGUGUUCGGGUGUCAAACCCCUACGCGUAAUGAAAGUGAACGGAGGUGGGAGCUUCGGCGCACCAUCGACCGAUCCUGAUGUCCUCGGAUGGAUUUGAGUAAGAGCAUAGCUGUUGGGACCCGAAAGAUGGUGAACUAUGCCUGAAUAGGGUGAAGCCAGAGGAAACUCUGGUGGAGGCUCGCAGCGGUUCUGACGUGCAAAUCGAUCGUCAAAUUUGGGUAUAGGGGCGAAAGACUAAUCGAACCAUCUAGUAGCUGGUUCCUGC
rnacentral:misc_RNA from 1 species